AUGACAAAAUCAAACCCGAAUGAACAAAAUGUUGAAUUCAAUCAUACCAGUCUAUACCAGGGUUUAUUACUCAUUUUUGUACUUGUGUUUUGUUUUCCAAUUACUUCUUCAAUUGUGAGAAAGAAAGAGACUAAUAAGAAUUCUAUUGUCCCAUUUGGAAGGAUACAUUGUCUCUAG
rnacentral:rRNA from 1 species